rfam:Podospora anserina genomic DNA, chromosome 6.
GGGCGUAUGGUCUAGUGGUCAAGACGUCUUAGUUGCAAAAAGUGUUGUUGCUGUGCUCCUGUUAAAUGCUCCAACAGAUGUAUGGGUUCCAACGAUACAAGUAUGCUCCAUGAGAAGGUCCCAGGUUCGAUUCCUAGUAUGUCCA